rnacentral:rRNA from 1 species
UACGUAGGUGGCAAGCGUUUGUCCGGAUUUAUUGGGGUUUAAAGGGUGCGUAGGCGGCCUUGUAAGUCAGUGCUGAAAUAUCCCGGCUUAACCGGGGAGGGUGGCAUUGAUACUGCAGGGCUUGAGUAAAGUUGAGGUUGGCGGAAUUGACGGUGUAGCGGUGAAAAUGCUUAGAUAUCGUCAAGAAACACCGAUAUUGAAAGACAGC